rnacentral:rRNA from 1 species
CUUUGGGAUAACCCUCGGAAACGGGGGCUAAUACCGAAUAGGACCUGACCUCGCAUGGGGUUGGGUGGAAAGUUUUUCGGCUUGGGAUGGGCUCGCGGCCUAUCAGCUUGUUGGUGGGGUGAUGGCCUACCAAGGCGACGACGGGUAGCCGGCCUGAGAGGGCGACCGGCCACACUGGGACUGAGACACGGCCCAGACUCCUACGGGAGGCAGCAGUGGGGAAUAUUGCACAAUGGGCGGAAGCCUGAUGCAGCGACGCCGCGUGAGGGAUGACGGCCUUCGGGUUGUAAACCCCUUUCAGCAGGGACGAAGCGGAAGUGACGGUACCUGCAGAAGAAGCACCGGCCAACUACGUGCCAGCAGCCGCGGUAAGACGUAGGGUGCGAGCGUUGUCCGGAUUUAUUGGGCGUAAAGAGCUCGUAGGCGGCUUGUCGCGUCGACCGUGAAAACUUGGGGCUCAACCCCAAGCCUGCGGUCGAUACGGGCAGGCUAGAGUUCGGUAGGGGAGACUGGAAUUCCUGGUGCAGCGGUGAAAUGCGCAGAUAUCAGGAGGAACACCGGUAGCGAAGGCGGGUCUCUGGGCCGAUACUGACGCUGAGGAGCGAAAGCGUGGGGAGCGAACAGGAUUAGAUACCCUGGUAGUCCACGCUGUAAACGUUGGGCGC